GGGUGUAGUUGAGUGGUAGAAUGCUUGCCUAGCAUGUAUGAGGCCCUGGGUUCAAUUUCUAGAAUCACACA
rnacentral:tRNA from 1 species